rnacentral:misc_RNA from 2 species
AACGCAUAUUGCACUCUUUGGUAUUCCGAAGAGUAUGCUUGUUUGAGUAUCAGUAAACACCUCACAACCAAUUUUCUUUUUAAGAAUCUUGGAAGUGGACUUGAGUGAUCCGUACUCUCUCUCGAGAGGGGCCGGUUACUUGAAAUGCAGGUGCAGCUGGACUUACAACUGAGCUAUAAGCAUAUCUAUUUAGUCUCGUAAAACAGAUUAUUCAUUUUGCUAAAGCUACUCUAAGGUUGUAUUUCCAUAUGGCUGACUGAUGCAGGAUUCACAGAGUGGACGUCAAAAACCCAUUUUGUAAACUCGAUCUCAAAUCAAGCAAGACUACCCGCUGAACUUAA